UUUAGAAGUAAACUCUCUUUCAGAGCGAAGUGUCCAGGUUGCACACACAAAAGAGUGUGUGUACGUGGCAGCGCUCAGUGGAGGUCGUGGGUCAAUAUGGACCUUGUUGGAUGCCGAGCCCCGAUGGUGUUCUCCGCGCUGAGCCGGGAUUGUAGCAUCUGCAUUGUUCAGAUGCCACCCCAGAGGCUUUCUGCUCUCUCAGUAUGGAGGAAGUCUCUCUCCCUGUCUCUUGCUUACUCCAUCUCCAUUUCCCUGUCUUGACAAGAUGUGCUGUCCCAUCACCCCUGCUGGGAGCGAUCAAAACAUAGAAGCAGACUUCAGGAGGAGCCCAGGCUGUGAUUCUUACCCCACGGUUCUGCCAGGACCGAUAUAAAAUCACAUCACGUCAACCAUUCAUUCUCCCACCACCUUCUGAGAAAAAUCCAGAGGAGUCCCAGUCAGCAAACCUCAGAAAAAUCUGACUAAUUCAAACCAAACGCACUGCCUCAACAUUAUAAGACUUCCAGCAAGUAAAAAAUGUGUCAUAAAAAGCUGAAAGACUCUUGUUAAAGACUAAUAAACGAGGGAAGCCUACUGUAUUAGUGAGUUAUCUUGGAUCUUGUGGAUGUAUUCUCUUAAAUUCUUUGUUAUUAAUGCCAGGCUUCCUCAGAUUUACAAGAGGCUGUCAAUACAAGUUAAACCUAAUGGUGAUCAGAGACUCUUUCUGUAAGUAUUGUUAAAUGUUACUAUGGACAAGUGUACCUGUCUUGCUCCUUCAAAAACUUGUGGUUUAAAUAAGGAAAAAGCUGUUUUUCCUUCCAUUUUUUCCUUUGACUGGACUGCUGAGUUCAGCCAGGAUAAAUGUCGUGAUUGAAUUAGUGAAACCAUACACUCACUAACCCAAGUGCUUAUGGCUGAUUCUGACCACACACCCAAGACUGGCCAAAGAGUCUGUUCAUUCUGCCCAGUGUAACUGUUUUCACUGGAAAAUUCACUGGCACAUCGCACAUGUUUGAAUAACACUAGCAGUUUCAAAAAUUUGUGUUCAUAGCAAAAUUGAAAAGGCUGUAAAGACGAUUAGAUUCAAUAUUUAACAUCCUGAGGUGCUAUUCCGGGCAACGCUUAGAAACACAGAGGGGGAAAAAAUGAAAAAGGACAGAGCCAGAGGACCCCCGCCCCUCUUUUAGAUGUUUUACAAUAGCGGCUUAUUCAAAUCCCAAAAAUUACAUUUUUCAAGCGCCUUUCAUGGCUCUGGCUUUGUUAUUGCUUUAACAUGGGUAUCAGAGGCCUAUGUUUAUUCAACCCUCAAUUACCAAAGGCUCAGCCGGCAGGCCUUUAAUUGAUUGCUUUAAUUGAUUGGUCGGGGGUAACCAUGGCUGAAAAGCAGUUUAUCUUAAUCAGUUGAGAGGAAAUGUAGAGUGGGGCUUGAUUUCCUCCAGCUGAUCAACCCUGUGUGGGCUGAAAAGGGGGGAGCUACUACUGAGGAGAGACAGAAAGAGAUAGAGGGAGUCAGGAUGGAUAUAGGUGGAGGUGGACCUGGAUGGGACAUGAUGAGGACAGGGAUCAAAAUCUUGAAUUCAAGCUGCUUUCAGUACUGAACUUAGUACAAAUACAGGGAAUGUUUACACAACAACAAAGUACUAAAAAAUUAAAAAGUUUUGUCUACAGAAGACAAAUUACGUCAACGUUGUCACACGGAUCCAAAAACACUGUAUUAUGGAUGCCAGGCAAGUAGCUGGCAAUGUCGUUUUGUAAAGAAAUGCAAUGUGUAUUACGUCAUCAUUUUCUCAAAUUAGCGUUUCUGUAGUUUACACAGACAUGAUAACUUUGAAAGUGAAACACAGGGUUUGCUUUUUCAGGCCCCCAAAACGCAGUUGUUGUGGGAAUGAAUGGCCAAGACGAAAAAAAUAAAAAAAUGUUUUGGUUGAAAACAGUGUUGUGUAAAUGUACCCAUAGCGAUUGAAUGACUGUCGAGAGUCAAAGCAUUUUUACUGUGUGAAUGUUAAACAUUUCUGAAAUGUACUUUUUCUUGUACAAGUGGUACAGUGACCAAAUACGCUUCCCAUGCUACACAGUAGAGGUCUUCACGGGUCCACUUGGAUCCGAAAACCCGAGACCCGAGCGGGUUCGGGUCCAAAACUUCUACGAGUGCCUCGGACACGGGUCAGGUUCAGUAUUAGCAGCCUCAGGUCUCGGGUAAUUAAAAUAAAUGUGCUUUUCCCAAAUGGACACGAUUAGACCCGAAUUCUUUUAAACUUUCCCGGAUGCGUAGCCUACUUGUGCAUUCAUGUUAAGUUCAUUUUUGAGAAACGCACGUAAAAAAGGAACAUACGUUUGUAACCUCAGAAAUCCAUCUUGAUGAUCUUGAUGAGAUCCAUCAGGAAAUCCACUCACUUUAUUACUCUGCGUGUCAAUGCAAGGCUUUUCUUUUUUGUGUGCAGAAGCCCUUCACCGGAGAUGAGGUAAAUAACACUGCAGACAAAACCUAUCGAUUUGAUUUUUAUAAAACUAUCACGUUUAUAUUUCAGAUCCACUGGUUACGAUUGAAAGCCAAACUCAGAAAUAACAUGCAUCAUCAGGCAGGCAAAAAUAUAAAGUAAUAGGCUAAUAAGGGGCUGCAGGCUGUGUACACGUCAAUGACGUUUACGUUCGGGUCCAGUCGGGUUCGAAAAUAAAUGCGGUCGGGUCGGACUCGAGUCUAAUUUCAUCGGGUCUGUGUCGGGUCGGGUUUAUCUUUUAAAAACAAUUAUUCAUGCACGUCGGGUUCGGGUAAGAAGUGAUUCGGGUCGGGUACAGAUAUUAGGACCCGAGAAGACCUCUUCUACACAGUAUGCAAAUCAAAUGCAUUUGACCCUGCUAUCUCAUAAGGCCACAAGAGUCAACAGGAGAACUGUGAGCCAGACCACUCUUUUCAAGUCUAAGUGUUAAUGGUACAAAGAAAAUUGCUCAUCAUGGCUAAAUUUACACCUGAAUAAAUUAUAUUCUGAACUGCUGUUGCUACAUUACAGGUCAAAAAACAAACGGGUCAAAGGACAAUGCCAACAUGGCAGAUGUAUAAAGAGUAUUCUAAAGGCUAUCAAUGAUCUUCUUUUCUUCUUCUUCCUCUCUACAUCGUUACUCUGCAAUGUGAAUAGAUGGAGGUCAGCUCAGAAAUAUUUCACGCUCUUCCUCACCAGAUAAUGACCCAAACCUGACCCUUAUUGUUGAGGUGGAAUUGCUCAAGUGGUUUCCAGGCUUUUAACCAACGUCUGAAAAAGAAGUUCGUUGAAUGGAAUUACAAAAUUGACCUCUAAAAUGUCUGGCCCCCACAUAAACUUCAUUGACGUCUCCUUGCCUUUUAGCCUGUACUGCACGUUACAGCACCACUGUAAGAAUGGAGAGAGGAUAAUAGCCUGAUGGAUCCUUGGAUGGCCAAGUAUAAAUUAAACUAAUCGUCCGGGCUCUGUUCUUUAUCAGUCCUUACACACUGCCGGUCAUUUGAGCUCAGAGAUUUUCCAGACUCACUGUAACUUAUGACAAAGCCAGAGUGUUUUCCCAUGAUCUCCUGCCAUUGUGCUC